rnacentral:tRNA from 1 species
CAAGAAAUAGUUUAUUAAGAAUAUCAGCUUUGGGUGCUGAUGGUGGAGCGGGUAGCUCCUUUCUUGA